rnacentral:lncRNA from 1 species
AUUGCUCGCCCCUACAGAGCGACAGGGGUACUAUGGUAAUUUCAGGGGGUGUUUGAGUAUACGCGAAAAGUAACUCUCAAACACAAAAGCCAAAACGCAUGACCCACUAUUUCAUAUUGUCACACAGAACGGAAAACGCAAAAUAUCUUCUUCUCCGCUGCAGCAAAAGUUUAUCAGGUGUUUUCAUAUUGUCACACAGAACGGAAACACGAUACCGCCGCACCAUCUUCUUCUCCGCCGCAAUUUAAUGUCUCCCCUUCAAUUCCUCCAACCCAAUUGAAUACCGACUCAUUUUCACUUCUGUUCAAGCACAGAUGAAUACCAUCUUCUGGGUCUGUCUCUCUUUUUUUUAUUUUUUAUUUUUAUUUUUUUAGUUUAGUUCAAUUUGAUUGUGUGUUUUGAGGAUUAUUUUGUAUUUCCAUUAGAUAUAGCUCAAUGUAGGUUUAGCUACAAUAGCCACAUCUUGUGAAUUUAAGUUAUUUUUAACUGAUAUGCGUGUUUAUUCUGAUUUUUCUAUUCUCCUUCUCUUAGUUAGGUUCAGCUUCCUCUGUUUUUCCCUCUUUUCUUUUCUGAUUUUUUGUUCUCAAUUUAUGCUUGUGACCA